UGGUUCUCCCCGAAAGCUAUUUAGGUAGCGCCUCGUGAAUUCAUCUCCGGGGGUAGAGCACUGUUUCGGCUAGGGGGCCAUCCCGGCUUACCAACCCGAUGCAAACUGCGAAUACCGGAGAAUGUUAUCACGGGAGACACACGGCGGGUGCUAACGUCCGUCGUGAAGAGGGAAACAACCCAGACCGCCAGCUAAGGUCCCAAAGUCAUGGUUAAGUGGGAAACGAUGUGGGAAGGCCCAGACAGCCAGGAUGUUGGCUUAGAAGCAGCCAUCAUUUAAAGAAAGCGUAAUAGCUCACUGGUCGAGUCGGCCUGCGCGGAAGAUGUAACGGGGCUAAACCAUGCACCGAAGCUGCGGCAGCGAACGUAUCACCCAAGACAACUUUACGGAGUUGACGAUUGACGGAGCGAAGCGACGUCAAAGCGUUCAUUAAAGUCGAGUUGGCUUAGGGAUACGUUCGUUGGGUAGGGGAGCGUUCUGUAAGCCUGUGAAGGUGUGUCGUGAGGCAUGCUGGAGGUAUCAGAAGUGCGAAUGCUGACAUAAGUAACGAUAAAGCGGGUGAAAAGCCCGCUCGCCGGAAGACCAAGGGUUCCUGUCCAACGUUAAUCGGGGCAGGGUGAGUCGACCCCUAAGGCGAGGCCGAAAGGCGUAGUCGAUGGGAAACGGGUUAAUAUUCCCGUACUUGGUGUUACUGCGAAGGGGGGACGGAGAAGGCUAUGUUGGCCGGGCGACGGUUGUCCCGGUUUAAGCGUGUAGGUGUGUGUUCCAGGUAAAUCCGGUUCACUUUAACACUGAGGCGUGACGACGAGGCACUACGGUGCUGAAGCAACAAAUGCCCUGCUUCCAGGAAAAGCCUCUAAGCAUCAGGUAACACGAAAUCGUACCCCAAACCGACACAGGUGGUCAGGUAGAGAAUACCAAGGCGCUUGAGAGAACUCGGGUGAAGGAACUAGGCAAAAUGGUGCCGUAACUUCGGGAGAAGGCACGCUGACACGUAGGUGAAGUGAUUUACUCAUGGAGCUGAAGUCAGUCGAAGAUACCAGCUGGCUGCAACUGUUUAUUAAAAACACAGCACUGUGCAAACACGAAAGUGGACGUAUACGGUGUGACGCCUGCCCGGUGCCGGAAGGUUAAUUGAUGGGGUCAGCGUAAGCGAAGCUCCUGAUCGAAGCCCCGGUAAACGGCGGCCGUAACUAUAACGGUCCUAAGGUAGCGAAAUUCCUUGUCGGGUAAGUUCCGACCUGCACGAAUGGCGUAAUGAUGGCCAGGCUGUCUCCACCCGAGACUCAGUGAAAUUGAACUCGCUGUGAAGAUGCAGUGUACCCGCGGCAAGACGGAAAGACCCCGUGAACCUUUACUAUAGCUUGACACUGAACAUUGAGCCUUGAUGUGUAGGAUAGGUGGGAGGCUUUGAAGUGUGGACGCCAGUCUGCAUGGAGCCGACCUUGAAAUACCACCCUUUAAUGUUUGAUGUUCUAACGUGGACCCGUAAUCCGGGUUGCGGACAGUGUCUGGUGGGUAGUUUGACUGGGGCGGUCUCCUCCUAAAGAGUAACGGAGGAGCACGAAGGUUGGCUAAUCCUGGUCGGACAUCAGGAGGUUAGUGCAAUGGCAUAAGCCAGCUUGACUGCGAGCGUGACGGCGCGAGCAGGUGCGAAAGCAGGUCAUAGUGAUCCGGUGGUUCUGAAUGGAAGGGCCAUCGCUCAACGGAUAAAAGGUACUCCGGGGAUAACAGGCUGAUACCGCCCAAGAGUUCAUAUCGACGGCGGUGUUUGGCACCUCGAUGUCGGCUCAUCACAUCCUGGGGCUGAAGUAGGUCCCAAGGGUAUGGCUGUUCGCCAUUUAAAGUGGUACGCGAGCUGGGUUUAGAACGUCGUGAGACAGUUCGGUCCCUAUCUGCCGUGGGCGCUGGAGAACUGAGGGGGGCUGCUCCUAGUACGAGAGGACCGGAGUGGACGCAUCACUGGUGUUCGGGUUGUCAUGCCAAUGGCACUGCCCGGUAGCUAAAUGCGGAAGAGAUAAGUGCUGAAAGCAUCUAA
rnacentral:rRNA from 1 species